rnacentral:misc_RNA from 1 species
AAAAAAAAAAAGGCCAUUAGAAUCUCACUAUUGAUGUGUAACCUGUAGCAAUUCGGGAUUCCUGCAGAGGUUUACUUCCCUUGCCCUAAGCAGAACCAACCCUUUUUAUCUUGUGCUGCGCGUCAUAAUCUCUUCUUUUGCAUUUUGAAUUGUAUAUUUAUGGUUUUCUGUGAUAGUGUCUGAUCUAUUUCCCCAUUUUGGUUCAC